UCUUCGGCAAUGGACGAAAGUCUGACCGAGCAACGCCGCGUGAGUGAAGAAGGUUUUCGGAUCGUAAAACUCUGUUGUUAGAGAAGAACAGGGAGGAGAAGAGAAUGUUCAUCCCUUGACGGUAUCUAACCAGAAAGCCACGGCUAACUUCCUUACAGCAGCCGCGGUAAUACGUAGGUGGCAAGCGUUGUCCGGAUUUAUUGGGCGUAAAGCGAGCGCAGGCGGUUCUUUAAGUCUGAUGUGAACGCCCCCGGCUCAACCGGGGAGGGUCAUUGGAAACUGGGGAACUUGAGUGCAGAAGAGGAGAGUGGAAUUCCAUGUGUAGCGGUGAAAUGCGUAGAUAUAUGGAGGAACACCAGUGGCGAAGGCGGCUCUCUGGUCUGUAACUGACGCUGAGGCUCGAAAGCGUGGGUAGCAAACAGG
rnacentral:rRNA from 1 species